UACGUAGGGGGCUAGCGUUGCUCGGAAUCACUGGGCGUAAAGCGCACGUAGGCGGUCUCUUAAGUCGGUGGUGAAAUCCUGGAGCUCAACUCCAGAACUGCCUUCGAUACUGAGAGUCUUGAGUCCGGGAGAGGUGAGUGGAACUGCGAGUGUAGAGGUGAAAUUCGUAGAUAUUCGCAAGAACACCAGUGGCGAAGGCGGCUCACUGGCCCGGUACUGACGCUGAGGUGCGAAAGCGUGGGGAGCAAACAGG
rnacentral:rRNA from 1 species